CGCCACCGCAGGAGAAGCGGCUCUGCAGGGCGCGGGACCCUCUUUGGGAAGACCUUGCCCUGGAGCCAGCGCAAGCCAGGGCGCCGAGAGCCGGGGCCCGGGCGCGGGGGAGCGGCGCAGACCGAGGCUGCAGAGAGAUCCCCUGCCCGCGGAGCGCAGAGGCCGGCCCGUCCGUCCCGGGGAGCCGGCAGCUCUCGAGCGCCGAGAGCUCAGCAGCACAAGUACCAAGAGGAAGGGAAACCAGCCCGCGCUGACAUGUAAACAGGGACUUCCAUCUGAAGGAGCCCGCUCGGACAGCCCCCCAAGCGCACUCACUUGCACCCCGAUCCGCCUGCAACCCAUCCACUUGCCCUCCCCAGGGCCCUCCCGGCGGGGGACCCGAUCUGGUGGCGGCUGCAGCUCCCGCCCCCAUCGCCUUCGGCCUCGGAUACAUUCAUUAAUGCUUUUUCCAGCCGGAGUCAAACUUAUUGGGAGUUGGGGGGGGGGUUGUUAACUCAGGCUGGGGAUAACCUGGAGCCUACUGCCGGGGAAGAUCCGGACGCAGACCGAAGCAAACCAACCAUUAAAAAAUGCAUCCAAUGGGAAUUUUUCCACUCGGGCCCUCGGCUGCCGAGUCGCCGCAGGCUCUGAGUGGUUCACCGGUGGACGCGGAGUCGGGGCGCUUUCGGAAGGACCCCACCGCUGGGGGCGCGGACUAGGCUCCCAGCGCAUUGUUAGCAGAAGGGCGCCCUCCCGGGCAGCGCUCCUCGGCCCUUUGCUCCUGGAGAGGUCCCGGCGCCCGCCCAGGGCCGGGACUGGAGGCACCCUGGGCCACCUACCCGCGCCUCCUAGGGUCAAACCCCUCGCACUUUACCUGGACCGGAUGGCCCAAGUGCCGGCGCUCGGUCAGAGCCGCCUAUGCAAUGCUACUCCGAGCCCCGAGAAAGCCACAGCACCGCAGGACAUUCCCUCCACGCUGGUCAGCAGGUCUCCAGAGCGCAGCACGCAAGAUCGCCGCACAGACUCAGACUUCCCCGCGGGUGAGCCCCCGGGGUCAGUGCUCAGGACCAUCAUCCCCAACCAGCCCUGAGGCCAGCCGGCCCUCGGCGCGCAGUGUCGGUCUCCGCCACCCGGAGACCUCCCCCGUCCCCCUGCGGUGCCUCCGAACACUCCGGUUGCGGCAGACUCUGGAGUCCAGGCGCAGCGAGGGGACCCCCACCCCACCCCCGGGCGCUCUCGGCCUGACUCCCUUCUCCCCAACCUCCGAAACAGGUUACCUUGUCCACGCUCUCCAGACCACGCUUUGGACUUUUUCACUUUUAUUUAAGAGUCCACCCGGGGAAGGAGGAAAAAAAAAAUCCAGAGGAGAUCCGAGUCAAUUGGAAAGAAAAAAAAAAUUCAAAAGGGUGUCCACAGCAGCGAAAAAGGGUUGGGGGAGGUCGGUGCUCACAUGCCGACUUCCUUUUUCACAUAAGUGGUUUAACCGUGGAUCAAGAGAUCUUCUCAUUCUCCAAGCACCGUGGGUGUGGUCCACUGACGGAGGUCUGUACCAAACUCUUCAGCAUUGCGUGUGUGUGUGUGUGUGUGUGUGUGCACACGCAUGCAUAUAUGCCUCCUAUUUCCUCCUCUUCCUGUAAUUUGAAGAGCCAGAAUGGGUAUUUGCACCGAAGAUCAUGCCAAUAAUAAAAUCUUGGUGGUCCUGGAAAAACAGAUGAGCUGAGAAUGAAGUAAGGACUGAUCUGGACUCCCUUUCAGUUAGAGUUUCGAGCUGGACCUCUUUGGACACGCGAGGUGGUAGGGAAGCUUGUGUAUGCCCACCCGGGGAGUGCCUGCAGUCCUAACCACCCUGUCUGGGAGCAGGGGUGGGGUGGGAUUAAGACCCAGGCUAUCUCAUCCUUCAGAAGGAUACGGCCCACUCCCUUUGUCACCUGGAGCCUUCAAUUUGCCAGAAGAAAAUUGCUGAAAUUGGUAACAGCUGCCAUAGGAGGAGCCUGAGAGAGGAGAGAAUGAAGGGAAAGGGGCAGGAAGACUCAUUAAAGCCAGCUUAUCCCUCUAACUGCUUCCAAAGGGAAAGGGGUGGGGGCUUUCUUGCUCCAUGGUUACUGCUCCCUCACCAGCCAGUACCAGGUUGCUUCCUUGGGCCAUGGAUUUGCAAUCCAGAGCCUGGUCAUUAGCAAGUGCCUCCCGUGUUGAGUUUAGGAGAGUGGGAGAUUGGAAUCCAAGAAACACCCCCGGUAGGGGAGAAGGUUAGUUAUUUGGGGGUUCUGUGAUUCUCAGCAAGACCAUUAGGACUCAACUUCCUUAUUUGGCUAAGGAGAGAGCUACAACUAGAUCAUCUCGAGAUGCCUUCCGCUAGGAGUAUGCUAUAAUUCUGUGGGAUUAGUUAACCUGGGAAAGGAUUUGAAUCAAAGGCAAAUUCAUGUUCUAGGGUUAGAAACUGUGGGUUCCGGUUUUAGGUCUGCUCCCAGUGAGUAGUGUUAUGAACUGAAUUGUGUCCCUCUGAAAUUCAUGUAUUGAACGCCCUCACCACCAAUAAUUGAGAAUGUGAAUGCAUUUGGAGACAGGGCCUUCAAAGAGGUAAAUAAGGUAAAGUGGGUGGGCUUAAUCUCAUAGGACUGGUGUCCUUAUAAGAACAGGCAUUUAGUACACAGAAAUGUGGGAGCACAGAAGGAAGACCACGUGCGGGCACAGUGAGAAGGCCACCCACGGCAAGCCACGGAGAGAGGCCUCAGGAGAGGGCAAACCCUCUGGGAUCUUGAUCUUGGAUUUCCAAUCUCUAGAACAGUGAGAAAACAAAUUUCUGUUGUUUAAGCCACCAAUACUUCGGUAUUUAUUACGGCAGCCCUAGCAAACUAGUACAACUGGGGAAUAAUAUUUUGCCAUGAUCUGGUUUCCUCGAGCAAAUAAAAGAAUUGACAAUGUUGACACACUUUACCCAACUCUUCUGGAACCCUCUGUGAUGAUCGCUAUCUAUUUAUUGCACAUCCACAAUGUUUUUGGCCCUAUGUAGCCUCGUGUAUAAAGCCAUAUUCUGGUCUUUGUGGUUCUUUCCACCCCAAA